rnacentral:rRNA from 1 species
AUGAUGUCGGUCGGGCUGGGCCUCGGGUUACCAUACGACUCUACCGGCGGUCCGAUGGGGUUGCCGGAGCUCAUGAUGGGCCAGUCAUCACUGUUCAGCGCCAAGCCGGCCACACUGGACUUUCUAGGGCUCAGGAUGAGCCCCAUCGGUGCAAUGACGAGCAGGGGCCUCCCCGUGUUGAUGCAGCCCAUGGGCGGCGUGGUCGGCAUGGCCCGGACCGGCAGCGGCGCGGCAGAGACGUUCGGCUCCGGCCCGAGCGCUCAUGCCAAGCCCUAG